UACGUAGGGUGCGAGCGUUAAUCGGAAUUACUGGGCGUAAAGCGUGCGCAGGCGGUGAUGUAAGACCGAUGUGAAAUCCCCGGGCUCAACCUGGGAAUUGCGUUGGAGACUGCAAGGCUAGAAUCUGGCAGAGGGGGGUAGAAUUCCACGUGUAGCAGUGAAAUGCGUAGAGAUGUGAGGAACACCGAUUGCGAAGGCAGCUCACAAAACUGUAACUGACACUGAGGCUCGAAGGUGCGGGGAUCAAACAGG
rnacentral:rRNA from 1 species